UCAUCUCCCUCAUUUCCCUCCCAAAACCCUCAAUCCCUUCAUCUCUAUCUCCAUCUCUCUCUAUCUUCACCAGCCGCCCACUACAACCCACGCAAGUACUCCAUCGUCAGUCACCAUAGCCACACAAACUCCACCAUCGGCAACCAUAGGCACAUAAACUUCCGUCGCCAGCGACCAUAGUCUCAAUUUUUGGACGGCAUCUCUAGACGCUAUGAGCUUCAGACGGUAUCUCCAAAUGCGACGGACUUCAGACAGCGACCUCGACGGGCUUUGGACGGUGAACCACAACCUUCUGACGGCGGCCCACGAACUUUCGACGGCGACCCACUGAAGUUCGAUCGCGCCCACGGCCUUCUGACGGCGACCCACUGCAGUUCGAUCGUGCCCACGGCCUUUUGACGGCGACCCACGGUGACUCCGACCCACAUCUUCACCUUCAUCGCUGUUGAUCUAGUUGAUAAAUCCCAUGAAGAGUAUAAUAGAAGUGUUUCAAACCCAAACAGCUCUUUAUCAGGAUUAUUACCACUGAGGAGAGACCAUGCAAUAGCUGAAUGCUUUGAGCCUAAAUUGCAGGCCAAAAACCAAACUUCAGCCUAAUGGCUUGAGAUUGAACUCAAAAGGCACGUCUAUUUCUCAAGUAACAAACAACUUUUCACGUAGUUUGUAAAUUAUUUUGACGACUAUGAUAUUGAUUCAGAUGCUACUAUGGAGAAAAGUGGAUUGUUUGGUAGGAACUCUGGGAGAACUGAGAAUCAGAAGUAGAAUGGAACAUUAUCUAAUAAAAACUUAGAGAAAACUAAGAGCCAGAAUGAGAAUGAAAAAUCUGAAGAGGCUUCUGAUUUGCUUCUUAACACUGCUACUGAUCCAAUGUUACUCAUUGAAUUUGCAGGCUCUGAGUAUAAAUCUUCCUAAUGGAAUUUUGAUUAAACUUUGAGGACUAUGGAUAUUUACUGAUAUACUGAGAAUGUAAUUUGUUGACGGCAUAUUGGUGGACUCUGAAACUUCAUGAAAUUCAAGAUAUGCCAACAUGAAUCUUGAGCUUGGAAGUGGAAUUCUGAUUGUUGUUCCAAUUUCAAACGAGCAUUCAGCUUAUGGAAGCUUAAUUGAGAACGCAAUAUAAAUUGCAAUUAAAGAAGCACGGUAAGAAAUCCACAAGUCAAAUUUGAAAAUUUUCUAAACAUAUAAGGAGUAUAACGUUGCAAAUAUUUGAACCUUUAAUCGCUAAGCAAAGUUCUUAAUGCAUUAAUUGUUGAGCUAUGCCGAAACUCAUCCACCAGUAUAUACACAUUUUAGGGAGAAGAAUAUUGUGGAAAAGUUUUGAUUUAGAUUUAAUAAUGUGUUGAAACUUUUUUGUGUUUACUUUAAAAAUCUCCAAGCUUUCAUUCCUAGAUAAGGUAAAUCCAUUUUAUUUGAAGUUAUUAUUGCUCGAGUUUGUUUCUGAUUUAAUAAUGUGCUGAAACUUUGUUAUUCAUUUACUUAUAUUUCACGUCCAAGUGUCAUUCUAAACUCAUAGUUUUGGAGCUUUCUUAGGGUGGCAAGAGGGUUCUUGAGCAAACUUCUAGUGCUGCAUCACCUAACUCAUGCUAUAGAUGUGGUGAACAAGGGCAUUUUGCUCGGGAGUGUGCAGGUUCCACCAAGGUAGAUAAAAUAGCUUACAUAUUUGCUUGUUUUAUUAGGAAAAAAGAAAAUUUUCAUUUUGUUAUGAAUUUAUAUCUCUUUUUGAAAUGUUUUUUUUCUCUUGCUGUGAGAGGGAAAAGAAACCAUCUUGGAUGCACUUGGUGCUAUUUCAACUGCUUGCCACAAAUUAAUUUCUAUUGUAGAUCCUGCCAUGCCCAAUGCCAUUGUAAAUCUGGUAUCUUCCUCCUGCUCCAAGAAAGCAAAGAAAUUUCGAAGCAAUAGAUGCAAGGGGAUAGACUUUAGUUUUGGUAUACAACACAUGUUUUUGGUUAUAUAACAUAGCUAUUAUUGUUGAUUUUGGAAUAGGCCACACAUAGGAAAUUUUAGUUGGUUAUAUUUGGAUUGAAAUUCUGUAAUUGUUGAUGACAUUGUUGAGAAAAAUGAAAUUAUUGUUGGUUUA